UUCCGGUUGAUCCUGCCGGAGGCUACCGCUAUUGGAGUUCGAUUAAGCCAUGCGAGUCGAGAGUCUUAGGGACUCGGCGCACCGCUCAGUAACACGUGGGUAACCUGCCCUAUGCUGGGGAAUAACCUCGGGAAACUGAGAAUAAUGCCCCAUAGCCCACUACGCCUGGAACGGUGAGUGGGUCAAAGCUCCGGCGGCAUAGGAUGGGCCUGCGCCGUAUCAGGUUGUAGGGGGUGUAAAGUACCCUCUAGCCAUCAACGCGUACGGGUGUUGGGAGACAUUGCCCGGAGAUGGAUUCUGAGACACGAAUCCAGACCCUACGGGGUGCAGCAGGCGCGAAAACUUGGCAAUGCGAGCAAUCGUGACCAGGGAACUCCAAGUGCGUAGGGUAAGACCUACGCUUUUCUUGACUCUUCAAAGGUCUUGGAAUAAGGGGUGGGUAAGGACGGUGCCAGCCGCCGCGGUAAUACCGGCGCCUCAAGUGGUAGUCGCUUUUAUUGGGCCUAAAACGUCCGUAGCCGGUCUGGUGCAUUCGUGGGUAAAUCAACCCGCUCAACGGGUUGAAUUCUGCGAGCACGGCCAGACUUGGGACCGGGAGAGGUGUGGGGUACUCUCAGGGUAGGGGUAAAAUCCUGUCAUCCUGAGAGGACCACCUGUUGCGAAGGCGCCACACUAGAACGGAUCCGACGGUCAGGGACGAAACCUAGGGGCACGAACCGGAUUAGAUACCCGGGUAGUCCUAGGUGUAAACGCUGUGGACUUGAUGUUGGGGGCGCUCCGAGCGCUUUCAGUGUCGAAGCGAAGGUGAUAAGUCCACUGCCUGGGGAGUACGGUCGCAAGGCUGAAACUUAAAGGAAUUGGCGGGGGAGCACUGCAACCUGAGGAUUGUGCGGUUUAAUUGGAUUCAACGCCGGG
rnacentral:rRNA from 1 species